rnacentral:tRNA from 1 species
ACUAUGGCUCAGUUGGUAGAGCAGCUGAUUCGUAAUCAGCAGGUCACCGGUUCAAGUCCGGUUAGU